GAUGAACGCUAGCGGGAGGCCUAACACAUGCAGGCCGAGCGGUAGAGUUUCUUCGGAAACUUGAGAGCGGCGCACGGGUGCGUAACACGUGUGCAACCUACCUUUAUCUGGGGGAUAGCCUUUCGAAAGGAGGAUUAAUACCCCAUAAUAUAAUGAUUGGCAUCAAUUAUUAUUGAAAACUCCGGUGGAUAGAGAUGGGCACGCGCAAGAUUAGAUAGUUGGUGAGGUAACGGCUCACCAAGUCAAUGAUCUUUAGGGGUCCUGAGAGGGAGAUCCCCCACACUGGUACUGAGACACGGACCAGACUCCUACGGGAGGCAGCAGUGAGGAAUAUUGGACAAUGGGUGAGAGCCUGAUCCAGCCAUCCCGCGUGAAGGAUGACGGUCCUAUGGAUUGUAAACUUCUUUUGUACAGGGAUAAACCUACCCUCGUGAGGGUAGCUGAAGGUACUGUACGAAUAAGCACCGGCUAACUCCGUG
rnacentral:rRNA from 1 species